GACGAACGCUGGCGGCGUGCCUAAUACAUGCAAGUAGGACGCAGUUGCGAACGGGAGAGUAACGCGUAGGUAACUACCUAUUAGAGGGGGAGAACAAUUGGAAACGAUAGCUAAUACCGCAUACUAGUAGAUGGACCUGCGUUGUAUUAGGUAGUAGGUAGGGCAAUGGCCUUCCUAGGCAAGGAUACAGAGCCGACCGGAGAGGGGGGUCGGCCAGCCUGGGACGGAGACACGGCCCAGAGGGCUUCGGGAGGCAGCAGUAGGGAUUCGGCGGCAAUGGGGGGAACCCUGACCGAGAAACGCCGCGGGAGUGAGGAAGGUUGUCGGAUCGUAAAGCUCUGUUGUUGAGGAAGCGGUACUUAACCAGGAAGGGACGGCUAACUACGUGCCAGCAGCCGCGGUAAUAC
rnacentral:rRNA from 1 species